ACCCGCUGAAUUUAAGCAUAUAAGUAAGUGGUGGAAAUUAAACCAAAUGGGAUAUCUUUAGUAAUUGCGAAUGAACAAGGAUAUGCUUAGCUUGACAAAUGGAGCUAUUGGCUUUGAAUUGUAUUGUGGAAAUGUAUUACCAACAGAGGUGCAGGUGCCAGCCUAUUGAAAUAAAGCGUCAAUGAGGGUGAGAAUCCUGUUUGUCAUGUGCAGCCCUUUGUGCACGGUGUAUAUUUGCUGAGUCACACUCCUUGGCAUUGGAAUGCAAAGUGGGUGGUAAGUUUCAUGUAAAGGUAAACAUGCAAUUGAGACUGAUAGCACACAAGUACUAUGAGGGAAAUAUGAAAAGGACUUUGAAAAGGGAAUUAAAUGAGUUUGUAUUUGCUGAACACAAAGUAAACAGACUUGAUUUGCUUGGUGGGAGUGUUGCACUUGCUUGACAAGAGCUUUGGGCUGUGGGUGUAAUGAUUCUUUCUUUGCAUGCCAGUUUCUAUUUGUACAUCUGAUUACCUUUGCACAUGAAUGAUAAGUCUCCUGUGGGGGGUGGAUUGCAUGUGCAUGUAAUGAUUUGUGUUUUGAUAAAUGUGUCUGGUGUAUGUGUGUGUUCCUGUGCUUGGGGAUGCUCCCUUCCUUGGACUUACAAGCCCUGACACACACAUGCUGGCAAAAUGCUUCUGCUUGACCCGUCUUGAAACACGGACCAAGG
rnacentral:rRNA from 1 species